rnacentral:misc_RNA from 1 species
AAGGACAUUUACAGCUUUCUAAAUCAUCGAUCAUUUUUAUUUUGUAAUUAACGACAUUUCAAACAAAAUAUACUAAAUAGAACAAAUUGAAAUACAAUAUAUAAAACUACUUACAUUCUUGAGUUCCAGGAGAGGCUUCAUCCUCUUGAGGAAGGCACUGACUCUAAUACCGAAAACGAAUAUUCGAAACAAUAAAUAUAAAAAAAAAAAAAAAUAAAACAAAAGACUACGUUACCACGACCGCUUAAAUUAUGAUCGACGAACAAGGACUCUAAUAUCGCGUACAAAUUUAAUUGAUAAAAUUUUAUUA